GAUGAAGAACGUAGCGAAAUGCGAUACUUGGUGUGAAUUGCAGAAUCCCGUGAACCAUCGAGUCUUUGAACGCAAGUUGCGCCCGAAGCCAUUAGGCCGAGGGCACUCCUGCCUGGGCGUCACACGUCGUUGCCCCCCCAUCUACUCCUUCGGGAUUGCGGGGGGCGGAUGAUGGCCUCCCGUGCGCCUCGUCGCGCGGUUGGCAUAAAUGCCAAGUCCUCGGCGACACACGCCACGACAAUCGGUGGUUGCGAAACCUCGGUUGCCCGUCGUGUGCGGUCGUCGCGCAUCGAGGGCUCGAAAAAAUUGCCGGGCUCCGGCUCGGCUUUCAACGCGACCCCAGGUCAGGCGGGGUUACCCGCUGAAUUUAAGCAUAUCAAUAAGCGGAGGA
rnacentral:misc_RNA from 1 species